CGCCCGGGAAUUACGAGCCCACGCUUAAAACCCAAAGGACUUGACGGUGUCCCACCCAUCUAGAGGAGCCUGUUCUAUAAUCGAUACCCCCCGCUAUACCUAACCACUUCUAGCUACUCAGCCUGUAUACCUCCGUCGCAAGCCUACCAUGUGAACGUCACACAGUAAGCCCAAAGGGGACCCCCCCCCCGCACGUCAGGUCAAGGUGCAGCCCAUGAAAUGGCAAGCAAUGGGCUACAAUUUCUAAAAUAGGACAGACGAAAGACUGCAUGAAACACAGUCACGAAGGCGGAUUUAGUAGUAAAGAGGGAAUAGAGUGCCCCCUUUAACCCGGCCCUGGGACGUGU
rnacentral:rRNA from 1 species